UGCAGUCGAGCGGACAGAAGGGAGCUUGCUCCCGGAUGUUAGCGGCGGACGGGUGAGUAACACGUGGGUAACCUGCCUGUAAGACUGGGAUAACUCCGGGAAACCGGAGCUAAUACCGGAUAGUUCCUUGAACCGCAUGGUUCAAGGAUGAAAGACGGUUUCGGCUGUCACUUACAGAUGGACCCGCGGCGCAUUAGCUAGUUGGUGGGGUAAUGGCUCACCAAGGCGACGAUGCGUAGCCGACCUGAGAGGGUGAUCGGCCACACUGGGACUGAGACACGGCCCAGACUCCUACGGGAGGCAGCAGUAGGGAAUCUUCCGCAAUGGACGAAAGUCUGACGGAGCAACGCCGCGUGAGUGAUGAAGGUUUUCGGAUCGUAAAGCUCUGUUGUUAGGGAAGAACAAGUGCGAGAGUAACUGCUCGCACCUUGACGGUACCUAACCAGAAAGCCACGGCUAACUACGUGCCAGCAGCCGCGGUAAUACGUAGGUGGCAAGCGUUGUCCGGAAUUAUUGGGCGUAAAGGGCUCGCAGGCG
rnacentral:rRNA from 1 species